UUUACCAUUUACGUGAUUGAUGUGUUUAGAGUCCAUAAAAUCAAGCUAAUUAAGAUUUGAACUAUGUUUUUGGUGAUGGAAAUCCAGGGGACCUAAUGUCUGUGCUAUGAAACAAAACUGAGUUCGUGCCAUUUUUGUUUGAUAGGACAAAGACAAAGGCGACACACAAAGUACAACUUAACAAUAAUGUUCUAAAUGAUGUUACUCGGCUAAACUCGCAUGGUCGUGUAUGAGAUGGUGGCGAUUCCACAUUUAGUGAUCAGUUAUGUAUGGUCUCUCAAAGUACAACUUAUACGUUGAUUUCUAUUAGUUUUAAAUGAUGAUGUUGUAGAUUUUAUACUACAUGUGUAUAACAAAUGCAGAUAGAUGAUGAGGAGUUCUCACUAUACCUUUUUAUUUAGGUACUUAAAUUUUGUUUUACAUAUGUGGGUCAUAUAUUGGUCUUAAAAAUUAGAGUAAAUACUUACAUGUAGACACAUGUUAUUUACAAUUGUGGUUUGCUUUUUUGGGUA